rnacentral:rRNA from 1 species
CCUACGGGAGGCAGCAGUGGGGAAUAUUGCACAAUGGGGGAAACCCUGAUGCAGCGACGCCGCGUGAGGGAAGAAGUAAUUCGUUACGUAAAGCUCUAUAAGCAGGGAAGAAACACUGACCUUACGGUCAGCAGACGGUACCUGAGUAAGAAGCAGCGGCUACAUACGUGCCAGCAGCCGCGGCAAUACGGAGGGGGCAAGCGUUAACCGGAUUUACUGGGUGUAAAGGCAGCGUAGACGGUGCGCCAAGUCUGGAGUGAAAGGCCGCAGCUUAACUGGAGAACUGCUUUGGAAACUGGCGAACUAGAGUGCGGGAGGGGUAAGCGGAAUUCCUGGUGUAGCGGUAAAAUGCGUAGAUAUUAGGAAGAACACCAGUGGCGAAGGCGACUUGCUGGACAGUAACUGACGUUGAGGCUCGAAAGCGUGGGGAGCAAACAGGAUUAGAUACCCCUGUAGUC